UACGAGGGGGGCAAGCGUUGUUCGGAAUUACUGGGCGUAAAGCGUGCGCAGGCGGCUAUGCAAGACAGAUGUGAAAUCCCCGGGCUCAACCUGGGAACUGCAUUUGUGACUGCAUAGCGUAGAGUACGGUAGAGGGGGAUGGAAAUUCCGCGUGUAGCAGUGAAAUGCAUAGAUAUGCGGAGGAACACCGAUGGCGGAAGGCAAUCCCCUGGACCUGUACUGACGCUCAUGCACGAAAGCGUGGGGAGCAA
rnacentral:rRNA from 1 species